AGCGACGCAAAUAAGGCAGUGAAUAAAUUGCGUCACUCCUUUAAUAAAUGAGCGACGCAAAUAACAAAUUUUUAGCAUUUCAGAUUUUGUUAUUUGCGUCGUAUUUUUAUUAUAAAGUGACGCAAAUAACUCUGUUACACUUUAGGUUAUUCUUUUUGACCUUAGAUUUUCACGCCUACCUUUCACUAAUUCACUAAACAUAAAGAAAAAAAACAGAGUUGCAACAAAUUCAACAUCCAAAAUCGACCCUUCAAUCCAACAAAUUCGCCCAAAAAACACCCACAAAUUCGCUCAAAAAACUGCAAUUCCCCAACAAAUUCAACAUCCAAAAUCGCAAUCAAGUUCAACACUCAUAAUCGGCAGCAAAUCCGAGCAAUUUCGAGCAAAAAUUUAGACCAAAAACCCUAAUUUAUUCGAAUCCUUGAACCCCAGAAAAAUUGAUUAUUUUCGACCAAAAAUCCCCCAUUUCGAGCAAAAAAUGUACUUAAUUCCAUACGAAUUCGAACCCUAGAAACCCCAAAAAAUUCAAUUAAAAAUCCUGCUGAAAAAAUUCGAGCAAUAACUGAAAUUUUCGAGUGGAAAAAUCGCUGAAUUUUCGCCCCCAAAAACCCGAGGAAGUUCAAGCAAAUUACAGCAAUGUUGAAUUUUUGAAUUUUCGAGUAGAAAAAUCGCUUAAUUUCGCCCCCAAAAAUCGAUUUCGGCUCGACAUUGUUGAAUUUUUUAAAUCAAGUUCACCUAUGGGACUGUUUUCCGUGAGCCAAUCUUGUGUAAGAACAUUCCUAGGAUUGUUUCUGACAUGCUUUUGGUGAUCAAUAUCGAGCCACUGAUACACUCAUCCCAGGUCUUGGAAAGCUUAAAUUGCUAUUCGGUAUGAAUUUAG